UGAUCCUAGAAACGGUCAUUAUUGUUUGACAUCUACCACAGUACUCAAAAUAAUUUAUUGCUGUAAGAUGUGCAUUUUGGAGCUCCUAAGACACCGACCCCGCAGUUUCAUUCAAUUGUCAUAUUAUUUUUUGGAAAAUCAUAAUUGGUUAUCCUGGGUACUUGGAAAACUUGGUCUACUGUGGUUUGAAGAAAUUGCUGAACCUGAGGUUAAUGAAACAAUUACAGUAGUGGUCGAUAAAUAAUAUUGCAAAGGCAAAAAUUAACAUAUUAUAAACAUUACAACCCCAGUUAACAUGAAAUUUCUAUAAUUUAAAAUACAAAAAUAAUA